GACCCAAUUUAUAUGGAGUCCCGUGGAGAACCCUCUUCUCAAAUCUGGACCAUUAAAUCAAGACCACAUCCGACGGUUAACGAUAAUAGAUAAUAAAAAUUAAAAAAAUGUUACGAAGUAUGCAUCAGUUACCUCUUUUUCUCUCCUCUCCGUCUUCUCUCUCCCCAGCGGCUCUCUCCCGUCUAUUCCUCGAGUGUUAACUCUCUGGAAGCCAUUGUUUUGAUCUCUCCUUACUUUAAACCACUACGACAUGGCGUCUUUAACAAAUCAAGCUCAUUCAUCCACAAAUCAAGCUCAGAUCUGUGAUAGUGUUGAUUAACCAAUUCAUCAGCUGGCAGGUUCAUCAAAAUGUGUUUUUUAGUUUUUGUGAAGAUGCUAGGGACUCAGCUCAUCAUUUGUUUUUUGAAUGUGCCUUCUGUUAUGAGGUUUUAAAGGCUUUUCAAUCCAAGGGAUAUUGUUUAUGGUAUGCUGGUGAUUGGGAGAUUUUUAUUCGUCGUGCUGCAGAAAAUUGGCGGGGACAGGUUUCUUUAGGUUUCUGUGCUGUAGUAAUUAUUCUUGCGGAGCCCAGGAAUUGCAGUACUGGUUGGAUUUUUGUUUUAUUUGGCUGGCAUUGUGGUGCUGUUAAUGAUUUUAGAAAUGUUGUUUUAAGCGUUUGGAGGUCAGAUGUCAUCAGGCAUACUCAGCAGUUGGUAUGGGGUUAUUCCGCUGAUCUGCUUAUUUGUAAUCUUCACAGCUGCAUUCUACGGGCCUGGGGAAAAAAUUUAUGCUGCAAUUUUUCAAGUUUCUGGUGGUUCAUUGUUGAGUGGAUUGAUAUGGCGUUGGCGAGGUUUUUGAAUCUGAGUAAUUGGCGUCCUCUCCUGGUGUUUAAUGUUGUUGGCCUACUGAUAUUUUUGGUCAUUAGAUUUGUGGAGUAUUUCUUAUUGUUAAUCAUCUCAGCGAUUUUAGUUGGUCUGCUGGUAUGAAGGUUUGGGGUCUACGCAGUUGCUUAGUUGUUUAUUCUGUGCGCUGCAGCUGUUAUCUGUCCCGUUUUAUGCCUGCUGUCGGUGUCAUGGGUGUGGCUGUGUUAGUUUUGUGGGUCUGUGGUGCUCUGCUGGGAGUGUUUAGAUGGUUGGGGGGUUUUCGGAGUUAUGCAGUUUGGCUGGAGGUGUGGUUUUUGUUUGUGUUCUAGUGGUGGCCUGAUGGUUUGAUAGUUGUUUUUUGAAGAGGAAUUCUUUUUGGCAUGCGGCUUGGUUUUGUUUCUGGCAGUGUAAGCAAGAGUUGCAUUUUUUAGUUGAGCUUAUUUGGCUGGCAUAUGUCAUGUUCAUUAGCUGGCAUUUUUGUAUUUUUAUUUUAUUUUUUCUUCUCCUGCUUUAGCGGUAUUAUUUUUUCUUCUCCUGCUUUAGCGGUAGUUGUUCCUCUUUGAGUUUGUUCUUGGAGGUUUUCUAAGAUGAGUCCCCUCUUUGUAAUUUUUUCUUUUCUUGUUAUAAAAUUCAUACGGGGUGCCAUCCUCAUUUAUCCAAAAAAAUAAUUAGUUUUUAGUUGUAUUGUAGCUUUUGUUCUACUAUGGAAUCUUUUUUUGUUGUUGUAAAUGAUGCAGUUUGAAUUAUUUCUUGAAAUUUGAUUCUGAUGCAGAAUCAAGAUAGUGAAUUUAUUAAAAU